rnacentral:rRNA from 1 species
CAAUAGCGUAUAUUUAAGUUUCUGCAGUUAAAAAGCUCGUAGUUGGAUUUCGGGUGGGAAUGGCCGGUCCGCCGUUUCGGUGUGCACUUGCUACGCCCACCUUGCUGCCGGGGACGUGCUCUUGAGUUCACGCUCGGGACACGGAGUCGGCGAGGUUACUUUGAGUAAAUUAGAGUGUUCAAAGCAGGCCUACGCUCUGAAUACAUUAGCAUGGAAUAACACGAUAGGACUCUGGCCUAUCUUGUUGGUCUGUAGGACCGGAGUAAUGAUUAAGAGGGACAGUCGGGGGCAUUCGUAUUUCAUUGUCAGAGGUGAAAUUCUUGGAUUUAUGAAAGACGAACUACUGCGAAAGCAUUUGCCAAGGAUGUUUUCAUUAA